UACGAAGGGUGCAAGCGUUACUCGGAAUUACUGGGCGUAAAGCGUGCGUAGGUGGUGAGUUAAGUCUGUCGUGAAAGCCCCGGGCUCAGCCUGGGAAUGGCGAUGGAUACUGGCUCGCUAGAGUGCGGUAGAGGAGAGUGGAAUUCCCGGUGUAGCAGUGAAAUGCGUAGAGAUCGGGAAGAACAUCGGUGGCGAAAGCGCUCUACUGGACCGCAACUGACACUCAGGGACGAAAGCUAGGGGAGCGAAUGGG
rnacentral:rRNA from 1 species